rnacentral:rRNA from 1 species
CGCGGCCUAUCAGCUUGUUGGUGAGGUAACGGCUCACCAAGGCGACGACGGGUAACCGGCCUGAGAGGGUGACCGGUCACACUGGGACUGAGACACGGCCCAGACUCCUACGGGAGGCAGCAGUGGGGAAUAUUGCACAAUGGGCGCAAGCCUGAUGCAGCAACGCCGCGUGAGGGAUGAAGGCCUUCGGGUUGUAAACCUCUUUUAGCAGGGAAGAAGCGAAAGUGACGGUACCUGCAGAAAAAGCACCGGCUAACUACGUGCCAGCAGCCGCGGUAAUACGUAGGGUGCAAGCGUUGUCCGGAAUUAUUGGGCGUAAAGAGCUCGUAGGCGGUUUGUCACGUCUGCUGUGAAAAUCCAAGGCUCAACCUUGGACUUGCAGUGGGUACGGGCAGGCUAGAGUGCGGUAGGGGAGAUGGGAAUUCCUGGUGUAGCGGUGGAAUGCGCAGAUAUCAGGAGGAACACCGAUGGCGAAGGCACAUCUCUGGGCCGUAACUGACGCUGAGGAGCGAAAGCGUGGGGAGCGAACAGGAUUAGAUACCCUGGUAGUCCACGCCGUAAACGGUGGGUGCUAGUUGUGGGUUCCAUUCCACGGAAUCCGUGACGAAGUUAACACAUUAAGCACCCCGCCUGGGGAGUACGG